AUGGCGUCCAACACCGUCAAGCUCAUCGACAUCGCAGUGAACUUCACUGAUGGCAUGUUUAAGGGCAUCUACCACGGCAAGCAGUGCCACUCUGCCGACCUCCCCAGCGUCCUCGCGCGAGCCUGGGCUGCCGGCGUCGACCGCAUCAUUGUCACCGGAGGGUCUCUGAAGGAGUCCAGGGAAGCGCUUGAGAUCGCCGAGACCGAUGGGAGGCUAUUUUGCACCGUGGGAGUCCACCCAACGAGAUGCGGGGAGUUUGAGGAGAGUGGAGACCCGGAAGGGCAUUUUCAGGCUCUCUUGGCUUUGGCAAAGGAGGGCAUCGAGAAGGGUAAGGUUGUAGCAGUCGGCGAAUGUGGUUUGGAUUAUGACAGACUUCAGUUCUGUCCUUCAGAUAUACAAAAGAAGUACUUUGAGAAACAAUUUGAAUUGGCUGAAGCAGUAAAACUACCGAUGUUUCUUCACAUGCGUGCUGCUGGUGAAGACUUCUCUGAAAUCGUAUCACAAAAUCUGUACAGGUUUCCAGGUGGGGUUACACAUUCCUUCACUGGUACUGCAGAAGAACGUGACAAGCUUCUUUCUAUCGAGAAUAUGUUUAUAGGUAUUAAUGGCUGCUCUUUGAAGACUAAAGAAAAUCUUGAGAUUGUAGGAGGUAUUCCUGCAGAGAGGAUGAUGAUAGAGACAGAUUCUCCUUAUUGUGACAUAAAAAAUACUCAUGCUGGAAUCCAGUUUGUAAAAUCGAUCUGGCCAUCCAAGAAGAAAGAGAAGUAUGAACCUGGUUUAACAGUUAAGGGUCGCAAUGAGCCUUGUUUAGUAAGGCAAGUCCUUGAGGUAGUGGCUGGAUGCAAAGGUAUUGCUGAUAUAGAAGGCUUAAGUAAAACUCUGUACCACAACACAUGCAGGCUCUUCUUCCCUCAUGACAUAGAUGCUUCUGCAGAUGCACAGCUUGAGAGUGGUGGUGUUACUGCAGAACAGAAUAGCUGA
rnacentral:rRNA from 1 species